rnacentral:tRNA from 1 species
GGUUGCUUGGCCGAGUGGUUAAGGCGUGUGGGUGCUAACGAAGGCGAGAGUUCGAAUCUCACAAUCUUCA